rnacentral:snoRNA from 1 species
AAACCAUGAUGAGGACACUCUAAGAGGAGGUCUUUAAAAUGUUCCAUACAUCGAGAGAAUGAUUCAUUAGGUCUCUGGCGAAAGUAGAGAAUGUCCUUCCUAAGCCU